CAUAUCAAUAAGCGGAGGAAAAGAAACCAACAGGGAUUGCCUCAGUAACUGCGAGUGAAGCGGCAAAAGCUCAAAUUUGAAAUCUGGCCCGUCUCCGGCGGCCCGAGUUGUAAUUUGGAGGGGCAUCUUCAGGGGUGGGCGCUGUCCUAAGUUCCUCGGAACAGGACAUCACAGAGGGUGAGAAUCCCGUGCCUGGGCGGCUGUCCCGCCCCAUGUGAAGUGUCUCCGACGAGUCGAGUUGUUUGGGAAUGCAGCUCAAAAUGGGUGGUAAAUUUCAUCUAAAGCUAAAUAUUGGCGAGAGACCGAUAGCGCACAAGUAGAGUGAUCGAAAGAUGAAAAGCACUUUGAAAAGAGAGUCAAACAGUACGUGAAAUUGUUGAAAGGGAAGCGCUUGAGAUCAGACUCGUCGGACGGCAACCAUCGGUGCUUCUGUGCCGUGCACUUGCCGACCGACGGGCCAGCAUCGGUUCUGACGGUGGGAAAAAGGCCCGGGCAAUGUGGCUCUCUUCGGGGAGUGUUAUAGGCCCGGGUGCCAUACCGCCUGCCGGGACCGAGGACCGCGCUUCGGCUAGGAUGCUGGCGUAAUGGUCUUAAGCGACCCGUCUUGAAACACGGACCAAGGAGUCUAACAUCUAUGCGAGUGUUCGGGUGGAAAACCCCUGCGCGUAA
rnacentral:rRNA from 1 species